rnacentral:pre_miRNA from 1 species
AGUUUUCUGAAUCCGUGCUGAGAUUUCGUCAGAUACCAACCUAUUAGGGCUGAU